rnacentral:rRNA from 1 species
GGGGGUAAAUUAAUAAAAUAAGAUUAAUAAAAAAAUUUUUAAUAUUGGGGGGUAUUAAAGUAUUUUUUAAGGAAAAAAUGAAAAAUUUUAUAGUAAAUUAAUAUUGUAAAAGAAAUUUGAAAUAAAAUUGAAAAUUAAAUAAAAAAAAAGUAAAUUUAAUUUAUUGUAUCUUGUGUAUCAGAGUUUAUUUAAAAAUAUUUAAUAAGUUAUGAAAUCUCGAAUUUAAAAGAGUUAAUUAAUUAUAAAAGUUAAUGUUGAAUAAUUAUUUUAAAUAAUUAAUUAGAAAUGAAAUGUUAAUCGUUUUUAAAUAUAUCUAGUUUUUUUAGAAAAAAAUUUAAUUUUAAAUUUGAAAAAUUUUUUAUUUAAUUAAUUAAAUAAAAAAUUUUAAAAUUAAAUAUUUUAAGGGAUAAGCUUUAAUUUAAAUAUUUAUAAUUAAAAUAAUUAUUAAUAAAAUUUUUAAAAUUUAUAUUGUUUAAAAAUUAUAGUUUAUUAAAAAAAAUUUUAUAUUAAAUAAAAUUUAAAAUAUUAUUUAAUUUUUUAUAAAAAAAUAUUUUUUAAUGAAAAAAAAAUAGAAAUAAUGAUAAAAUUAGUAUAUUAUUAAUUAAAAAUAUAAAUAUAAAUUAAAAUUAAUUUAAAGGAAUUCGGCAAAAAUUUAUAUUCACUUGUUUAUCAAAAACAUGUCUUUUAGAAAAUAAUUUAAAGUCUAAUCUGCCCACUGAUUUAAUAGAAUUAAAGGGCUGCAGUAUAUUGACUGUACAAAGGUAGCAUAAUCAUUAGUCUUUUAAUUGAAGACUUGCAUGAAAGAUUUGAUGAAAUAUAAACUGUCUCUAAAUUAUUAAUAAAAAUUAAUUUUUUAGUUAAAAAGCUAAAAUUUAUUUAAAAGACGAGAAGACCCUAUAGAGUUUUAUAAUGUUAAUACUUAAAAUUAAAUAUAUAAUUAUAAAUUAAAAUUAUUAAUAUUAUUUUGUUGGGGUGACAAAAAAAUUAAAAAAACUUUUUUUUUAAUAUUUCAUAAAUAAGUGAAUUAAUGAUCCAUUUAUUAUGAUUAAAAGAAAAAAUUACCUUAGGGAUAACAGCGUAAUUUUUUUUUUUAGUACAAAUAAAAAAAAAAGGUUGCGACCUCGAUGUUGGAUUAAGAUAAAAAUUAAAUGCAAAAGUUUAAAUUUUUGAUCUGUUCGAUCAUUAAAAUCUUACAUGAUCUGAGUUCAAACCGGUGUAAGCCAGGUUGGUUUCUAUCUUUAGAAAAUUAAAAUAUUUUA